UUUGCUUUAAAGCGAAGCGAUAGUUGCCUUAAUUAAACGAUGCUUACCCAGUGCCACAACCGUACAUGUGCACGCAACCGAACAAACCCACGUGACAGUCCUAUCUGAUUUCAGGCGUGUCGACCCGCUCAACCGAAACGUGCAAAAAGUUAAUAAAUCAAAUCCCAACUCUCCCUCUCGCUCGCACUUUACCAACUGAAAACUUCCCUCAAAAGUUCCAAGUUCUUUCACAGUAACCUUCUUCAAUUCGCGAUCCAAAAAUAGACUCUCAAAUUUUCAAGAAAUGGGUCUGAGAAUUGUAUACGGCGUCGUUUUCCUCUCGAUCUCCUGCGCCUGCUUCAAGCUUCUGCAUCUCUUUCUUCAUCCAGUCUUUUACCUAACUUCCUGAUUGGGCAACGAAGAGUGAAUUUUUCAGCUCAAAAGCUCAUAUAGGUAUCUUUCUUUGAUAUGUUAAUGUAAUCUUAAUCCAUACUUGGGUUUUUGUGUCUGUUCAAAUUUCAAUGGGUUAAAGAUGUGAUUGCAUUAUCAGUACUAUUGUUAUUGGUUUGUUGUAGAUUGUGUUACAUUGCUAUGGGAUCUUAAGAUGUAAUAUUUAUUUAUUUGUUUUUUUUCCUUUCCGAUACAAAUUGUUGAAAGACUUGAUUUGAUUUGUGAAUGUGAUUUGGUUUUAUUUUAUUUUGUUAUGUGAUCUAAUCUAUGGCUGAAACCAUGCCUUCAUACUUGAUCAUUCACCAUGCAAUUGGAUGUCUGUACAUUACACUUUGAAAAUUGAAAUUAGCGAUUUGUUUUGGGGUUGAGUGUUUUAUGUUCUUUAUUAGGUAGAUGCUGAUUAUUACCAGUCGGUUUCUUGAUUUGGUAAAUAAUCAAUUAUGGAAUUCUAUCUAAUUUUAAAUUAUUGAGAUUAAAUUAUAUCCAUAUCAAAUAUAUAUAUAUAUAUAUAUAUUACACUUUAAAUACUAUAAAUAAUUAAUAGUUGAAGUAAAUAAAAAAAAGGUGAUUGAGGUUAUUAAAUAACCUGCUGUANNNNNNNNNNNNNNNNNNNNNNNNNNNNNNNNNNNNNNNNNNNNNNNNNNNNNNNNNNNNNNNNNNNNNAAUUAACUGCUGUACGGCCAAGGCGGAUGUACGGUACAGCAGUCUUUUCUCUUUUAAGGUUUACGCUCUUUAAAUAUUUUUCAUUUUUAAUAUCAUUUUAAGAUAUUGUUUCAAACUUUUAGAGAUUUUUUAAAAAUAAUUUAAAUACUUUAUAAUAUGGUGAUGAUUUUAUUUUAAGUUUCUAAUUUUUAACUUACUGAAAUCAUGUAUUUAUACCUAAUAUAAAAUAGAUAAAUGGGGAAUGAAUAAAUGGGGAAUGAUGUGGGGAUGAGGAAAUCAUUUCCUACAUGGGGAUUCUCCAUCCCCACCUCACUAAAUUUAUUAGGGAAUUAGGUGGGAAUAGAGGCAAAAAAUUUUAAUGGGGUGGGAAAUGGGGUAGGCCUCUCCACCCCCACCCCCACCCCAUUAUCAUCCCUAACUCUAGAGCAUUUUGUUUAAUAUUUUAAAAUUUGAACUACAAUUAUAAAUUUUGUUUAGGGGUAAUUCAAGAAUCUACGGCAUGGGCUCAUUCGGGGGGCAAUGGUUACCCUUUCAAUCUUUCACGGCAUUUGGUGUAUUGGGCCACAGCCCCAAUAUGGAUCAACACAGACUCUGGUAAUUGAAAAUGACAAAUAUUUUACGAAUACGUACGUGAUACGUAUGAUACCUGCCCUACAUGAAAAAUAUAAAGAAAUAGAGAACUAAAUAAAUAAAUUGUAUUAGCUAAAUUAAUAUCAUAAUAUGGGUAGUUGUAAGUUGCUUGCUGGCAGACUAAUUGUCUCUGCAUAAGUAGGGAUGGCAAAAAUCCCCACGGGACGGGUACCCUCGGAGAUUUUUCCCAUUCGGAGAGAGUAUGGGGAUAAUUUCAUACCUAAUUUCUUAUUCAGGGAAGGGGACGGGGAAAUUUUUUUACCCAAUUUCUUAUUCGGGGAGGGGAUGGGGAUGAGGUGGAAUCCCCAUCCCUUACCCAUUUCCCCAUUUUAAUUUGUAAUUUAAUUUUUAUUUUUUAAAAUUACUAGUAAAUAAAUAAUAAAAUUUGAAUUAUAAAAUUAUAAGUAUUGGUAAAAAUAAAAAAUAUCAAAAUAUUUAUAUUAUUAAACUUUUAGACCUAAUUAACUAAUUAAAGUCCUACAUUUUUAUUUAUGACAUUAAAAAGACCGGACAAAUUCUAUUAGCCCAAAAC
rnacentral:lncRNA from 1 species